AUUGAACGCUGGCGGAAUGCUUUACACAUGCAAGUCGAACGGCAGCACGGACUUCGGUCUGGUGGCGAGUGGCGAACGGGUGAGUAAUGUAUCGGAACGUGCCCAGUCGUGGGGGAUAACGUAGUGAAAAUUACGCUAAUACCGCAUACGAUCUAUGGAUGAAAGCGGGGGAUCGCAAGACCUCGCGCGAUUGGAGCGGCCGAUAUCAGAUUAGGUAGUUGGUGGGGUAAAGGCACACCAAGCCAACGAUCUGUAGCUGGUCUGAGAGGACGACCAGCCACACUGGAACUGAGACACGGUCCAGACUCCUACGGGAGGCAGCAGUGGGGAAUUUUGGACAAUGGGCGAAAGCCUGAUCCAGCCAUUCCGCGUGCAGGAUGAAGGCCCUCGGGUUGUAAACUGCUCUUGUACAGAACGAAAAGGUUCUACUAAUACUAGGAGCUCAUGACGGUACUGUAAGAAUAAGCACCGGCUAACUACGUGCCAGCCGCCGCGGUAA
rnacentral:rRNA from 1 species